UACACAUAUACACGACCCACCCCCCUCCAUUUUAUCUUCUCCAUCGGACGCCCAACAGCCCACCAUGGCUGUUGCUUCUUCUUCUUCGUCAGUCACCGCUCAGCAACGCACACAUACACCUAUCGUCUUCUUCACAUCACAACCGGAUGACCCCAGCCCGCCACCAACAGACCCGUCGCAGACUUCAACAGUUCCCAGUCGUGUCUCUCUUCAACUUCCUCACUUGAGAGACCGUCCCUUUAAAAAAAAUAAAAAAAUAUUCUGAUUUUGUUCUUUCAUUUUUCCGACUUUCGUCUCAAAAUCAGAGGCGUUGUCUUUCGAUUUUCGUUCCAAAAUGGAGGUCAGUAGAGUUUGUAUGUGGAUUUGAAAUUGACUGUGCCGAUUCGAGGUCCGUUUUUGAAUUUUGUGGUUGUUCUGGCGAGUUUCGAGAUUGGGUCGUGGUUCCGUUCGAGGUUUCCGAUGAAGCUCUGGUUCUACAGUUCGAGGACAUCAUUUCGUCAGUAUUUUCAGGAAUUUUUACAAUUGUAAAGGUACAUACCUCGAUCUUAAAAUGUAAAGGUUGAUUCAUGUGAUGUUUUGAGGAGAUAAUGAAGAUAUUUGUUUUGUUAUAUGUCUCUCUCUUUGUUCCCUUCCCCAUUUGACUUGUUGAAAAGAAUUUCUGGCUCAGCAUGUUUAAAGUAAAGCUAUGUUGCACACAAUGAGAUUCAUGUCAAAAAUGUAACUGGAUUGUUAUUCUAUACUUGCUGGUUUCCAUUUGUUUUACUUCAGUCUUUAUUAUUGUUAAAAGAGUUGGUUGAUUUUGUA